ACACAGGUUCUUUCCUGACUACUUCAUUUGCCUUCUCUCCCAGCCAUGCUUCCUGAAUCUUCUGUUCAUUGUCAACAGCAAGAAAGAAUGAAAGACUCUCUGAAGCUAGUGUCAUUUGAUGAUGUGGCUGUGGACUUCAGCUGGGAGGAGUGGCAGUACCUGGACGUUGCUCAGAGGACCCUGUAUAGAGAUGUAAUGCUGGAGAUCUACCAUAACAUUGUGUCCUUGGGGCACUGUGUUCCUAAACCUAACUUGAUUGU